AGCCUGAGGAAAAAAUCUUAGGUUUUACCUGCCCAAUGUGCUGUAUAUGAAUGGCCGCGGUACUUUGACCGUGCUAAGGUAGCGUAAUCAUUUGUCUUUUAAAUGGGGUCAGGUAUGAAUGGAAUAACGUAGUUUAGCUGUCUCCACACUAUUUUCUUGAAAUUACUAUAUAGGUGAAAAAGCCUAUAAAUAGAAAAAAGACGAGAAGACCCUUAGAGUUUUUAUUAUUCUUUUAGGACAAAAUUUUUGUUGGGGCAACAUAGGAACAAACUUCCAAAAGUGAUAGAUCGACUUUUGUAAAUAUAGAUAAACUACCUUAGGGAUAACAGCAUAAUUUAUUUUUAAGUUUGUGACCUCGAUGUUGGACUAGGAAGCUAAAAGGCUAGCCGUUUUUUAGCUAAGUUCUGUUCGAACUGUGAUUCCU
rnacentral:rRNA from 1 species